rnacentral:rRNA from 1 species
CCUACGGGCGGCUGCAGUGGGGAAUAUUGCACAAUGGGGGAAACCCUGAUGCAGCAACGCCGCGUGAGUGAGGAAGUAUUUCGGUAUGUAAAGCUCUAUCAGCAGGGAAUAGAAAAGAAGGUACCUGAAAAAGAAGCCCCGGCUAACUACGUGCCAGCAGCCGCGGUAAUACGUAGGGGGCAAGCGUUAUCCGGAUUUACUGGGUGUAAAGGGAGCGUAGACGGAAAGGCAAGUCAGCGGUAAAAGCCCGGGGCUCAACCCCGGCGAGCCGUUGAAACUGGCGGGCUGGAGUUGGAGAGAAGUACGCGGAAUGCGCGGUGUAGCGGUGAAAUGCUUAGAUAUCGCGCAGAACCCCGAUUGCGAAGGCAGCGUACCGGCUCCACACUGACGCUGAGGCACGAAAGCGUGGGUAUCGAACAGGAUUAGAUACCCCUGUAGUC